rnacentral:rRNA from 1 species
GAGGCAGCAGUGGGGAAUAUUGCACAAUGGGCGCAAGCCUGAUGCAGCCAUGCCGCGUGUAUGAAGAAGGCCUUCGGGUUGUAAAGUACUUUCAGCGGGGAGGAAGGCGAUAAGGUUAAUAACCUUGUCGAUUGACGUUACCCGCAGAAGAAGCACCGGCUAACUCCGUGCCAGCAGCCGCGGUAAUACGGAGGGUGCAAGCGUUAAUCGGAAUUACUGGGCGUAAAGCGCACGCAGGCGGUCUGUCAAGUCGGAUGUGAAAUCCCCGGGCUCAACCUGGGAACUGCAUCUGAUACUGGCAGGCUUGAGUCUUGUAGAGGGGGGUAGAAUUCCAGGUGUAGCGGUGAAAUGCGUAGAGAUCUGGAGGAAUACCGGUGGCGAAGGCGGCCCCCUGGACAAAGACUGACGCUCAGGUGCGAAAGCGUGGGGAGCAAACAGGAUUA